ACACUUCAACGUGCGGAAGGAUCAUUAUUGAAUGAACUUGAUGUGGUUGUCGCUGGCCCUCUUGGGGGCAUGUGCACACCCGUCAUCUUUAUCUUUCCACCUGUGCACACUUUGUAGACUUGGAUAGUACUUUCAGAGGUAACUCUGCCGGGAGGAUUGCUGUGUGUCAAAGCCAGCUCUCCUUGCAUUAUCCAGGUCUAUGUUUAUAUACCCCAAAAAUGUAACAGAAUGUAUUAUUGGGCCUUGUGCCUAUAAACUAUAUACAACUUUCAGCAACGGAUCUCUUGGCUCUCGCAUCGAUGAAGAACGCAGCGAAAUGCGAUAAGUAAUGUGAAUUGCAGAAUUCAGUGAAUCAUCGAAUCUUUGAACGCACCUUGCGCUCCUUGGUAUUCCGAGGAGCAUGCCUGUUUGAGUGUCAUUAAAUUCUCAACCUUAUCAACUUUUACGAGUUCGAUAAUGGCUUGGAUGUGGGGGUUUGCUGGCUUCGUAAGAUGGUCUGCUCCCCUCAAAUGUAUUAGCUGGUGCCCCGUGUGGAGCCGUCUAUUGGUGUGAUAAUUAUCUACGCCGUGGAUGUCCACUUUAAAUGGGAUGUGCUGCUUCUAACCGUCUAUUUAGUUAGACAAUCAAUGACAAUUUGACCUCAAAUCAGGUAGGACUACCCGCUGAACUUAAGCAUAUCAAUAAGCGGAGGAAAAGAAACUAACAAGGAUUCCCCUAGUAACUGCGAGUGAAGCGGGAAAAGCUCAAAUUUAAAAUCUGGCGGUCUUUGGCUGUCCGAGUUGUAAUCUAGAGAAGUGUUAUCCGCGCUGGACCGUGUACAAGUCUCCUGGAAUGGAGCGUCAUAGAGGGUGAGAAUCCCGUCUUUGACACGGACUGCCAGGGCUUUGUGAUGCGCUCUCAAAGAGUCGAGUUGUUUGGGAAUGCAGCUCAAAAUGGGUGGUAAAUUCCAUCUAAAGCUAAAUAUUGGCGAGAGACCGAUAGCGAACAAGUACCGUGAGGGAAAGAUGAAAAGAACUUUGGAAAGAGAGUUAAACAGUACGUGAAAUUGCUGAAAGGGAAACGCUUGAAGUCAGUCGCGUUGGCCGGGAAUCAACCUUGCUUUUGCUGGGCGUACUUUCCGGUUGACGGGUCAGCAUCAAUUUUGACCGUUGGAUAAAGGUCAGGGGAAUGUGGCAUCUUCGGAUGUGUUAUAGCCCUUGGUCGCAUACAACGGUUGGGAUUGAGGAACUCAGCACGCCGCAAGGCCGGGUA
rnacentral:sRNA from 1 species